rnacentral:rRNA from 1 species
UUGGAGGGCAAGUCUGGUGCCAGCAGCCGCGGUAAUUCCAGCUCCAAUAGCGUAUAUUAAAGUUGUUGCAGUUAAAAAGCUCGUAGUUGAACUUCGGGGUCUACCCAUUGGUCAGGCUUAAUUGUCAGCACUGGUGAGAUGGAUCUCUACCUUCUGAGGAACUUUCAUGCCAUUUAUUUGGUGUGAUGGGAAAUCAGGACUGUUACUUUGAAAAAAUUAGAGUGUUUAAAGCAGACUAUCGUCUGAAUACAUUAGCAUGGAAUAAUGAAAUAGGACGGACUGAUUCUAUUUCGUUGGUUUCUAGGAUCACCGUAAUGAUUAAUAGGGAUAGUUGGGGGCAUUAGUAUUCAAUUGUCAGAGGUGAAAUUCUUGGAUUUAUUGAAGACUAACUACUGCGAAAGCAUUUGCUAAGGAUGUUUUCAUUAAUCAAGAACGAAAGUUAGGGGAUCGAAGACGAUCAGAUACCGUCGUAGUCUUAACCAUAAACUAUGCCGACUAGGGAUCGGACGAAGUUAAUUUUAUAAUGACGCGUUCGGCGCCUUACGGGAAAC